rnacentral:misc_RNA from 1 species
GAGAAAAAAAAAAUGAGAAUAACAACAAAUGUGAGACAUAAAUUAUGGUUCUUUUUGCUUUGUUUCUAUCAGUGUAGAGACCAUGAUAAAAGGAAGAGAACAAGGUGAUAAAAAAUGAGGUAGAGAUCACCCUCUAAAAUAUCUCAUCCUAGGAUAUUGACAUCAAAGGGAGGACAAGAAAUAAAAAAUAAUCAGAUUAUCAGACAAAAUCACAUGCAUCAUUUUGGCAAGAAAAUAGAAAAAAUCUUUAACAAGAGGAUCCUCUUCUUUAUAUAAUAAAGAUGCAGAAAACAGUCACAGGAAAAAAAAAUCAGAAUGCUCUUGGAGCUCUGCACAAAAGUAUAUUUUCAGAAUCAUAUACCAACAUCAAUGGAAUUUUCAACAGAGAGUUGCAAUGGCUACGUUGUAUUUGCAACACAAUAUCCUGUCCAUAAACACAUUGUCACACACCAUCAUUACAUAAAAAUCAAGUCUUUACACAGUGCCUUCCAAUUACAAGACAGCCAAAUUGUCACUUCUUGCUUAUCUUCAAGUAUUAAGACUUGCAGAUUGCAAUUGAGUUCUUAAAUAUUAUACAUAAACACUAAAACUCAAUCUUCUGGCACUGUUCAUAUUCCAGACGGUUUUUUUUUUUUUUUCCUUUUUUGGCUUUUUAAUUUUUUUUUUUACAAUUUUUUACUCUUUCAUAAGAGUGCUCAUCCGAUGCCAACUCCACAACUCAACCACUCACCCUACUCCUCCCAAACACCCUUUUCUUUUAGUUGCCAUUUUUUUUCAUUUUUUCAAAAAUUUUUUAGUUUAACAAUAACUAUGACACUGUUCCUAUAAGCUUUUUUUUUCCCUCAAUCCUCUGGCACAGUGUGAGACUUUUUUUUUUCAAUUUUUAAAAAAAAUUGAACUCUAAAAUAAUUAAACAACUUUUUUUCAAAAAUAUUUAAAAUAUACUUUUUCAAAAAGUAAUUUUCUAGCCUCUCAACCUCAAUGAUAAAUGGGACUUUAAUACAUGAAUAUAAUAAAUUUUGCGUUUUCUUUUUCUAAUAUAUAUUCCUAUAAUACUAGAUGCGUAACUCAUAAUAUUUUUUUAUUAAUUACUCUAACUACAAUUGUUUAAUGGUAUAUUUAUUAAUAAAUUAAUUACUUUUUAAAAUGAAAUUAUAUUAUAAUUUGAGACAAAGGUUAUCUUUAUAAAAUGGGAGAAGUAAAAGUUUUUCUGUCAAUUAUUUUAUUUCUACUAUUAAUUAAUUAAAUUUUGUAAAAUAAAAUAACAAUAUGCAACAUUGUGCUGGUGUUUCGCUUUGUAACUUCUGUAAUCAAAUUCCAAAAUCAACAUCAUUAAAUUGAUGGGAAUAGAGUCCAGUUUUAAUUUUUCAAAAUACAUCAUUGCACUUAGGACAUCAGUAGACACUUCUCAGCAGAAAGAGGGAUGAGUCAAAUACCCAUUACUAUUCACUAAUACAUAUUAAUGAAUUGACCAAUUAAACCUCAUUCAAUAUCCACCCAUAAUGAACUUAAUGAUACAAGUUCAUGAAGAAGCACUACGGUAUAUAAUUUAUCAAAAAAAAGUACUACUAUGGUAUAUUAUAUCCUCACCUGGAAAAAAUUGAAAUGCUAUCUGCAAAAUGAUGCAGUUUAGUUGACAAGGCCCUUUCAGUCCUCUGUUAGAUGAAGAGCUUGCAUGCUGGUAUUCUAGACCAAUAAUAUAAUAACAAAUGCUAUCUGGCACGCCAUCAAGACAGAGUUGAAAGCAAUGAUAUUGAAAGGGAGAAAUUGAAAGAAAAAGCAAGGCACAUUCAAAACAAACAGGAAGAUCCCAAACAAGGAUGGAUCAAUAGAAGAUACUAUUUGCUCGCAUUUUUUUCCCUUUUCCCUCUCCAAUAAUCCUUUUCUUUGACUAUACAAAAUCAAGAUGCUAUCAUCUGAAUACGGACGAUUGGACAUGCUUUAUUUGCAGCGCUAUAAAAUUUAAAGUGGAAUUCUGGGUCACUGAUAGGAGACUGUUCUUUGGGGAAAAAUAUGAAUCACAACAAAAUCCUGAAGAUAGUUAAUAUCACCUACAGUACAGCAAAAAGGAAGCAACACCCCCUUCCCCUUUACGCUUCCUCAAGAUUCCAAAAAGAAUGAACAAAUACAACAUAUUUUGCGAAACAAUUAUUCAGAACAACUUGAUCCAUAUUUGAAUUUCAUCUGUAUAGCUGUUGCCAACUCUUGUAUCAUAAUUUCACCUCUCAAUUAAGUAAUAACCUGAACAGAAGGAUCUAGGUUUUAUCAGCUACUACCGGUUAUCAAUUAAGAAAGGAAGUUAUAGAUCCCAACCUCUUGAAUCACUAGAUAAAUUUCAAGGGUUGUUCCUGAACUUUAGGAGUUGUAAUAGAAUCAUACUCAAACUUAAAAAUGUAACAUAAAACCACCUGAACUUUGAAAUUUUGCACAAUAAAAUCCUUCUAAUUCUCAAUGACCGGUUAAUGCAAUCCAGAAUAACAGUGACGUGAAUAAUUCUCUCAAUUCUAUGUGAUAGUAGCAAAAUCAGUUAUAAUUUUCUUCACAUAUUAACUAUAAAGGUAUUUCAGCUGCAUGAAAUAAUGAAAUACUAGAUGUAUAAUAGCUUAUUAAAGGGGGACUUUGUCUUAAAAAAAUUGCAGUAAUCGUUCACGUUAUUACUAUUUUGAAUUGUCCACACUAGAGUUACUCAUAAACCAGUUAUUAGGAGUCAAAAUGAUUUUAUCAUGUAAAAUUUCUAAGUUUAAAGAAUUUUAUAUUACAUUUUUUAGUUCAAGGAUGACUCUACUACAACUCCUAAAGUUCAAAAACAACUAUUGAAAUUUAUCCAGCAUUCAACAUGAACUUCUCAAGAAUAGUCAUUGACCUCUUUGGAAACUUCCUCAGCCUC